rnacentral:rRNA from 1 species
UACGUAGGGUGCGAGCGUUGUCCGGAAUUACUGGGCGUAAAGCGUGCGCAGGCGGUUUUGUAAGACAGAGGUGAAAUCCCCGGGCUCAACCUGGGAACUGCCUUUGUGACUGCAAGGCUUGAGUGCGGCAGAGGGGGAUGGAAUUCCGCGUGUAGCAGUGAAAUGCGUAGAUAUGCGGAGGAACACCGAUGGCGAAGGCAAUCCCCUGGGCCUGCACUGACGCUCAUGCACGAAAGCGUGGGGAGCAAACAGG